rnacentral:rRNA from 2 species
UAACUCGAUCAUAUCAGCACUAGAACAUCAGAUCUCCUCAGAACGUCGAAGUUAAGCGUAUUUGGGUAAAAGUAAUACUAAGAUGUGUGAUUUCCUGAGAAGUCUUUGUGUUGUAUCCC